GACGAACGCUGGCGGCGUGCUUAACACAUGCAAGUCGAACGGAAAGGCCCUGCUUUUGUGGGGUGCUCGAGUGGCGAACGGGUGAGUAACACGUGAGUAACCUGCCCUUGACUUUGGGAUAACUUCAGGAAACUGGGGCUAAUACCGGAUAGGAGCUCCUGCUGCAUGGUGGGGGUUGGAAAGUUUCGGCGGUUGGGGAUGGACUCGCGGCUUAUCAGCUUGUUGGUGGGGUAGUGGCUUACCAAGGCUUUGACGGGUAGCCGGCCUGAGAGGGUGACCGGCCACAUGGGGACUGAGAUACGGCCCAGACUCCUACGGGGGGCAGCAGUGGGGAAUAUUGCACAAUGGGCGGAAGCCUGAUGCAGCAACGCCGCGUGCGGGAUGACGGCCUUCGGGUUGUAAACCGCUUUCGCCUGUGACGAAGUGUGAGUGACGGUAAUGGGUAAAGAAGCACCGGCUAACUACGUG
rnacentral:rRNA from 1 species